rnacentral:lncRNA from 1 species
AAACUAUUUGAUUUAAGGUUUUUUUUAUGCCCCACCUACGAUAGUAGAGGGGCAUUAUGUUUUCUGGUCUGUGCGUCCGUUCGUUCGUCCGUCCGUCUGUCCCGCUUCAGGUUAAAGUUUUUGGUCGAGGUAGUUUUUGAUGAAGUUGAAGUCCAAUCGACUUCAAACUUGGUACACAUGUUCCCUAUGAUAUGAUCUUUCUAAUUUUAAUGCCAAAUUAGAGAUUUCACCCCAAUUUCACGGUCCACUGAACAUAGAAAAUGAUAGUGCGAGUGGGGCAUUCGUGUACUGAGGACACAUUCUUGUUUAUCCUACAUCA